CCACCGCAUGGUGGGUGGUGGAAAGGGUUUUACUGGUUUUGGAUGGGCUCACGGCCUAUCAGCUGGUUGGUGGGGUAAUGGCUCACCAAGGCGACGACGGGUAGCCGGCCUGAGAGGGUGACCGGCCACACUGGGACUGAGACACGGCCCAGACUCCUACGGGAGGCAGCAGUGGGGAAUAUUGCACAAUGGGCGGAAGCCUGAUGCAGCGACGCCGCGUGAGGGAUGACGGCCUUCGGGUUGUAAACCUCUUUCAGUAGGGAAGAAGCGCAAGUGACGGUACCUGCAGAAGAAGCGCCGGCUAACUACGUGCCAGCAGCCGCGGUAAUACGUAGGGCGCAAGCGUUGUCCGGAAUUAUUGGGCGUAAAGAGCUCGUAGGCGGUUUGUCGCGUCUGCUGUGAAAGCCCGGGGCUCAACCCCGGGUCUGCAGUGGGUACGGGCAGACUAGAGUGCAGUAGGGGAGACUGGAAUUCCUGGUGUAGCGGUGAAUGCGCAGAUAUCAGGAGGAACACCGAUGGCGAAGGCAGGUCUCUGGGCUGUUACUGACGCUGAGGAGCGAAAGCAUGGGGAGCGAACAGGAUUAGAUACCCUGGUAGUCCAUGCCGUAAACGUUGGGCACUAGGUGUGGGGGACAUUCCACGUUUUCCGCGCCGUAGCUAACGCAUUAAGUGCCCCGCCUGGGGAGUACGGCCGCAAGGCUAAAACUCAAAGGAAUUGACGGGGGCCCGCACAAGCGGCGGAGCAUGCGGAUUAAUUCGAUGCAACGCGAAGAACCUUACCAAGGCUUGACAUUCACCGGACCGCCCCAGAGAUGGGGUUUCCCUUCGGGGUCGGUGGACAGGUGGUGCAUGGUUGUCGUCAGCUCGUGUCGUGAGAUGUUGGGUUAAGUCCCGCAACGAGCGCAACCCUCGUUCUAUGUUGCCAGCACGUGAUGGUGGGGACUCAUAGGAGACUGCCGGGGUCAACUCGGAGGAAGGUGGGGAUGACGUCAAAUCAUCAUGCCCCUUAUGUCUUGGGCUUCACGCAUGCUACAAUGGCCGGUACAAAGGGUUGCGAUACUGUGAGGUGGAGCUAAUCCCAAAAAGCCGGUCUCAGUUCGGAUUGAGGUCUGCAACUCGACCUCAUGAAGUCGGAGUCGCUAGUAAUCGCAGAUCAGCAACGCUGCGGUGAAUACGUUCCCGGGCCUUGUACACACCGCCCGUCAAGUCACGAAAGUUGGUAACACCCGAAGCCGGUGGCCUAACCCCUUGUGGGAGGGAGCCGUCGA
rnacentral:rRNA from 1 species